rnacentral:rRNA from 1 species
UUCGGGAACCGUGAGACAGGUGCUGCAUGGCUGUCGUCAGCUCGUGUUGUGAAAUGUUGGGUUAAGUCCCGCAACGAGCGCAACCCUUAUCCUUUGUUGCCAGCGAUUCGGUCGGGAACUCAAAGGAGACUGCCAGUGAUAAACUGGAGGAAGGUGGGGAUGACGUCAAGUCAUCAUGGCCCUUACGACCAGGGCUACACACGUGCUACAAUGGCGCAUA